rnacentral:tmRNA from 2 species
AAGGUUUUAUUUUUUUAAAAUUAAGUUUAAGAUAUAAAUGCUGUUUUCAGCUAUAGCAAUAAACGUUUGAUUUGAACUGAGACGGACCCGGGGGCGGUACCCGGCACCUCCACCAAANUAUANNNUAAUGGGGGUGAAANAGGAUCGACGUGCAUGUAGACGGUCAAAAACUUUGCUCGGAAUGGUACCAACGUUAUCGGACUAAACUUUAUAAAUGCCAACGAUAAUGAAAUGGCACUCGCUGCUUAAUUUUAAGCAAGCGCGGUUAUGAGAAUACCGGGCAACAGAAGUCUCAUCG